rnacentral:lncRNA from 1 species
CAUGCCUCUAUCACCUGCGCAUGCAUUCUUGAGACCUUCACCUAACGUUGAUGAUGCAGUGAGUCUUUUUCUUCAGCAUCCACCCGAUGCAAGGAAAAAGGAAUCCUUACAUUCUGUAUGUGGCAGACACUGUGCUUUUAAUAACCUAAUCAAGACUGAGCAUUUUGAUGUGUCUGCCUCUCUGUGGCUGCGUCCAGUAUGCACACCUGCAUCCAUGCCUCCCGUCCCUGAGAAGUGCAAGGCUAUGGCAUGCAACAAAUAACAGAUUUUUAUUACAUUGCAUGCUCUCGGUGUGGCAGCAGAACUGACAGAAUUCAGGAGAGCUCUAUUACCAAUACAUCAGAAAUGUCCUCCAUCUACCAGGCGUCCCCAGGGGGAUCCACACUAAGUGGAACUCGGAAGACGCAGCCACUGUCUGGGGGGAGACCAUUUGCUCCCUUCCCCCACCGGCCCUUCAGUUGCUUUCAGUAGUGUGAUUUUCUUGUUUUGUUUUGGAACCAGAUGGUGAUGCUUGUAUUGAGUGCCACAUAGUAUACUUUCCAAGGCAGUAAGUAGAUACAAAAGCAAACUAAUUCCUGAAAACUUUUUCAUUUGCUUCAAUAGUCUGCUGAAAGAAACUCUUGGAAUCCGUCAUUUCCCUUUCACGGCCAUUUCUUUAAAAAAAAAAAAAUAGAAAAGCAGUGGCAGGCUGCCAAGCCAUGGAGCCACAUAAAUAUCCCAGGGCUGAGCCAAGCUGCUGCUGAAGCAAUAGUAGCAGCCCCUGCCUGAGGAAUGUCCGAGAGCUGCCAGAGACUUUGCAGUCUGUCUGCCUCCAGUUCCCAGCGUACCACCUCCAUGCCUGGCUCCACCACCAGCAGGUCGCAGGUUUUCCUCAGCCCCUCAGUGUCUGGCAGGCCUGAGUGCCAGCUUACCACCACACACUUAACCUCACUGCAUCAGAGAAGGUGGCUGCUGUGGCAGCCAGGUAUUGCAGUGAGCCCUUCGGCUCCAGCACUGAAAUCCCGCCUUGUGCUCUUCUGAGGUCCUCCCCUUCCCUGUGAACAGGCGAUUUCCUGCAAAGACCGUGCCUGAAAGAAUGCCUUCUGGAGCCCAAAUGCAUUUUAUAACGUUUAACUGUUACAGUCGUUGAUAUGAAAGCUGCUUAUACAAGAGUGUACAACAGAGGCUGGAAACCAUACAGCAGCCCUGCUAUAUGGAUAGUGCUUACUGUGGAUGCCAAGCUGAAGAUGGAUGAACAGCGUUCUUGUUGCAAACAGGGCAUAGCACAGGCUGGCCUAUGUCAGGAAGCAGGUGGCCAACAAAUCAGGGGGCUGCAUCAAAAGAGGAGGGGGCCAGCAGGGUAAGAGAGAUCACUGUCCCCGUCUACUCUGCCCUUGUAAGGUCCCAUCUGGAGCACUGCAUCCAGGUCUGGGGCCCCAGCACAAGAAAGACAUAGAGCUAUUAGAGCAGGUCCAGAGGAGGCCAUGAAGAUGAUGAGAGGGCUGGAACACCUCUCUCUCCUACAAAGACAGGCUGAAGGAGCUGGGCUUGUUCAGUCUGGAGAAGAGAAGGCCCCAAGGACACUUCAUCGUGGCAUUCCAGUACUUGAAGGGAGCUUAUAAACAGGAGGGGGACCAGCUUUUUACACAGUCUGAUAGUGAUAGGUCAAGGUGGAGUGGCUUUUAGCUAAAAGAGGGAAGAUUCAGGUUAGAUGGUAGAAAGAAAUUGUUUACUCAGAGGGCGGUGAGGUGCUGGCACUGCUGCCCAGAGAAGCUGUGGAUGCCCCCUCCCUGGAAGCAUACAGGGCCAGGUUGGAUGGGACCCUGGGCAGCCUGAGCUGGUGGGUGGCAGCCCUGGGUCGGCUUUGAGCUGGGUGGGCUUUGGGAUCCAUUCCAAGCCAAACCAUUCUGUAAUUCUAUGAUUAUCUCCCAGUGCAUGAUGCUGUGUGCAAUCCUGCUGUCCAGUUUUGGGCCUCCCAAUUGAUGAGGUCGUUGAAAACGUGGAAGGUACUGGAGGAAAGGUGGAAAAAUCUGGAUUAGUCUGAGGAGGAACAGGCUGUAGUGUGACUAAUAACUGCCCAGAGUUAUUGGGAGGGCAGCCAGACACCUCUUGGUAGUGGCAAAUGAUGUAGCAGGGGCUUCAGGCCAGGCAAUAGGAUGAACUUCUUUAGUGAGAGAGUAGCACAGGAUGGGAAUGGGUUGCCUAGACAGGUUGUGUGAUCUCUGUCCUUGCAGGUUUUCAAGAUUCUGCUAGAUGAAGCCCCAUCUGCCCUGACUGAGUACUGCUACCUGUGCAGCUUCAAUGGAAGGAUGGGCAGCAUCUCUAGAGGGCUCUUGUGAACUUUUCUGCAACUCAGAGACGGAGAACCCACAAAGCCUGAGGCAGUGCAGGUAUCCACUCACCCAAAGAAUGCCCGGUUCAGUUUCAGAGAAUUAAAUCCCUGGAGGUCCCAGGCUGUGCUGGAGACCUCGGGGCCCUGUGGGUGUGCUGACAGCAGUAGGGACCACGCAGCAGAGCAGACAAACGUGCGCAGUGCAGAUGGGGCUUUGGGUACGUAGCUCUACCACUCACACCCUGCACGUGCUGCUGUGUAUGGCCUCACCUCUGAUAGCUUGAUGAUUUCCCAGUCUGUUUUUUUUCUCGGCAUGAUGUGGACAAGCUGCAAGUCCUACUAAUUACCUCUCCCGUUCCUCUUUUACUGCCUUACCACAAAGGCAAAAGUCCUUUUAUAACACAAGAGCUUAUCUUAUCAACUUCACUCACCAGCCCCACAAAGCUGAAAGUUCAGUGUGGCCCAAAUGCAGGUCUAGCCUGUGCCAUAAGUGACAUACAGGCAGGCAGGAAGAAAAGAGAACUCAAUCUUCCUGUGUCCCUCACCUUGUAAGCAAUUAGUAGUACUUCAAGCAUGAUUGAUUAUACCUAAGGACUUCUUCCAGGGAGUUCUUGGUACUGCUGAACCUUCUUACUUUUAACCUGUCUCAGGCACCCCCACUGUUUCAUUGCUAGCACUCCAUACUGCUCCCUCUCCACACAUCUCCACACAUCCAGUGCAGGUUUUUGUUAGAACUUGGGGGAAACUCUGUAAGCAAAGAGCUCUAGAAGAGUUAAUGUAGGCUAACGUAACACAAACUAAGGCCAGGUGCAGGCCAGAAAAGAAAUACCUGCUUUUAUAUGCCAUGUCAGUGGCCGUGGGUGUCCCAGUGAGGGGCUGUCUGAUGGGAGAGGUAACUCCAGGAGCAAGGACAGCCCUUCCAGACCCUUGUGCUAUCCAGGAAGUGAUCCACCAUCACUGUUGAGUGUAAACUGCAUCUUCCCUGGACUACCAUGUCAUAAUAUUUUUCUAUGCGUGAAAAUAGUUUCGAUUUCAGUAACUUAGCACCUAAGUGAUUCUGCAGAUGAAAGAAUGUCUACUGAAGCAGGAAACGGAACAAAAACCUGCUGUAAGGUAGCUUGUGUGCAAGGACGGAAAGCACCCACCGUGAAGGACUGCAUUGCAGGUUUCCUACACUUGCCUUUGUUUGUUCCCUCUUGAAGUUUACAAUGUGUUAAGCAUUUAGCAGCUAUCUUUUUAAGCUGCUUCUGAGUUCAUGCAGCAGUUCACUCGCUGCUGAAACUUCCUGCCACUCCCAGCUCUGGCAGAAAGGCAAAGGAAGGCCGGAGUCACAUGCAGACCGAUGCUGGCCGGGCCCUGCUUUCCUGGCUGCCUCCUGCAGCCUCCAGCACUGGGUGUAGGUUUGGAUGCCACAAUAUAAGGACAUAGAACUACGAGAGAGUGUCCAAAGGAGGGCUACGAAGAUGAAGGGUGUGUAGGGCAAGGUGUAUGAGGAGCGGCUGAGGCCCCUGAGGGGAGGCCUCACGGCGGCUGCAGCUCCUCACAGGGAGCGGAGGGGCAGCGCUGAGCUCUGCUGUGUGACAGCGGCAGGGCCUGAGGGAACGGCAUGGAGCUGUGUCAGGGGAGGGGCAGUGGGGGUUGGGGACAGGGUCUGCACCAGAGGGCGGUGGGCAUGGCCCCGAGUGCCAGAGGACAAUGCUCUCAGUUAUAUGGUCUGAGUUUUGGGUUGUCCCGUGUGGAGUCAGGAGCUGGACUCUGAUCCUUAUAGGUCCCUUCAAAUUUGGAGUACUCUAUGAGUCUGUGAUCCUAUGACAACUCACCUUUGAACUCCUUCCCCCUCCACCUCAGAGCAGUCAUUCUGUCCAAGACUAGGGGAGCCUUGCAUGACAAGGGACACUGCUAACCUCACCACAAUGUUUUUUUUAAAACACUUGAAUUGCAAAGCUGCUAUUCUAAAUCUCCACUCUCUUUGCAGCCUUCUGUCCAUCCCCCCCCCCGCCCCUGCAGCAUUUCAGGGCCAAAGCACUGCAAGCUGCAGCAGUGUGUGUGUGCUCUUUUUCGCUUGCGAGAGUCUCAGAUGGGGCUGUGGAACAUCUGUGAAGUCCUUCAGUACCUCCAUCUGUAACGCAGCCGGACAGUUCAGGGCUCAGCCUGCACUGCACUUUCACAAAGCAUUGGCCUAGUUUUCCAAAGGGUCAUGGAGAAGGAAACCUCCACAUUGUAGAUGACUUCAUCAGCUGUUUCUACUAAAAACAGUCAUAGGAGAUUUUAAAAACCAGCAGCUUAUGACACCAAUACUUUUUUUAAUCUCAGUGGCAUGGACUGUACACAGCAUUGCCAGAAUUCUGGUUUAGUUAAUUCCACCAUCAGAAAAAUGGGGCAGCGUUGAGGGAGAAGGGCAAUUUUGGAACGUUUUAGCCAAUGAGAAAUCAUUCUGCCAUAGGCACCAGGCACAUAGGCUCCAUCACAUGGAGACUCCACUGCCCAGUACUCCCCAGACAGCCCAGCACACAAGCAGGGUUCUCAUAAGGAGUUCCAGAGAGUAAGCAAGAAUCUGACACCCCACAGGUAAGGGCCCAUCCUCGGGUUACCUGAGAAUGCUUUUGUGCCAGGCUUGAGGUACUCAUGGAGCCCCAAGGACACAGCCUUGUGCCAACAGCAGGGUGUGAGGGGAGUGCCCAUGUUACCUUGCGUAUCCUAGUGACUGCUGCACGCAGAGGCUCAAAGACAACGCAAGUAUUUGUUGGCUUUGCUUUCCAAAUAGAAGCUUUCUGCCUAGUCUCCAGCACAGACCUGCCCUCCAGUAUGGCCUCAUACAUGUGGCUCCAUAGUACAGCAGCUGGUGGCCAUAGCUACAGGAGCAAUGAGAUGUGAGCAGGCCCCAGGCUGGGCUGCAGGACACAGGCAGCACCCACCAUGGAGCCAGGGCCCAGGUGCUCCAGGUUCAGGCUGCAUUACAAGAAGCCCACAUCCUCACCACCCACCUGCCACGGUGUUAUAUGCCACGAGCAUGUGCUACACCCCUGCCACUACCACAGCUGCUGGAACACAGGCACCUCUCCUCUAAACAAGACCUUAUAAGCUGUGAAGUUACUCAAUAUGACAGAUGGUUCGGCCCUCCCAUGCUGACAAGACGCAGCUGUGCUUUCUUUGCAUUGGUGCUACAUUACCAGACUUUUUCAGGGAAAUAAAUGGAAAGUGAAGUUUUUUGGCAGAGUAGCGAUGCUCUAGGUAAAUAAACUACUUUCACGUCAAAAUAGAUCUCCCUUUUAACAAUACCUACUGCUAAGAUAAACUGAAGGAAGUUUUCCCUUGUGAAUGAGUCCAGGCUGAACAAAGCCUCGCACAAGCGAAGGCCUGCUCUGCGAUGAGCAAGGCAAGCAUCCAGACUCACGUAUCACAUUUCUGAACUAACUAUACUUGGAUAGUAGUUACGGCAGAAGCUUGAGGUUUCUGCACCUGAAAACACAGGGAGCAGUUAGUGCUGAGUACCUUAAGGCAACAUUCCUCAGUUAGGAGUAUUUUUAGUUGACAUGUACUCCUAUUUCAAUUGUAAGCCACUUAAAGCCCUUCCUCUCCACUGUGGCAUUAACACCGUUAUGUUGAACAGAGAAGAAAACAGCCCAGACUUUUGCAUUAAAAUACAAACUUUACAAGCACAUAGUAAGUGUAGGCUCUUAUAUUUCAGUUUAAGACUAUAUAAUUUUAUAGAGUACCAAAAUAAGCAAAGGAUCAGCACUCCAUACAAAGUGUUAGGUUCUUAGGAGGAAGGUAGAAGGGAGAUGGAAUUUAAUUACACUAAGAUUUUCUUUGCAAGUCUAAAGAAAAUUCCAUUUCAGCAAAAACAGAGUUGGGUUUAUAUUUCCCAUAUUUCUAGUUCAUUAAAUAAUGUUUCUUUAAAGACAACUUACAUUGUUCUCGUUCAAAGUAAAGGGAUGAUUUAAAGCAGUAUUAACAAGGAGGUGGUGCUGUUAAUGUUUAAUGUCAAUAUGCAAUGUCAUCCGCUAUAAAGGCUAGAAGAGCAACACAACUUUAUCGUUACUUUCAAGGACUAUUAGAAAUUGACUAACAUUUGAGGAAAGUUUCAAGCACACUACACUGCCUCUAGCUCUACGCUGCUGCUGCUAAGCCUCUGCAGUCUGUACGCUGCCAACAGGAACUCGGCACACAAAUCCCAACUCCCAGCUGCUGGCAGCAAUGCCUUCACAUGUACGCUGUCAGGCCAACUUGGAGCAGUUAUGCUUCUUCCCUGACUCAUGGCAUUAAGAUGCAGUAGGUUAUUAGCUAACAUUAUCACUACAGUUUUACAAAAAGCGUAAGUCUGAACAAAACAGCAGUUAAAGCGCUCUGCUUAACUUCAGGAUUAAUUCUGUGACAACUCUCCUCUAUUCCCUGCGGUUUCCUCCUCUACUCCUUCCCUAGUUUCUAUUUUACAAUAAAUAGAUUCAGUGGAUUUACAUGAUGCAAGUGAAACUCAGAAGACUUCUGCCCUACACAUGUAACCGUUAAGCUGUGAGAUUAUACACGUGAUACACCUCUAACAGAGCAACCACUGGUUUAGAUUGUUAAAGAAACCUUGUAAAGAAACACAAGUAUUUCAGCACGUACAAAGUAAUGAGUUCAGAACUGUCCAACAUUGUCACUUCCAUACAUUCUCUUCCUCUUUAUAGCUUUAAAGGGAUUUAGACCUUGAUGGCAACAAUCCCAAAACAAGAGUAAAAUGAAUUUAUUUUAUUGCAAACAAACGUCUAGAGUUAAAUUUCUCCACCCACUUUCUUUAAAGAGAAAAGGAAUCAGCAGGCUAAGGAGAUACACCCAUUUGAGAAUCGACAUGAUUAAAAAUUAGAUAUAAAAUGGGUGACUCACAGUUUCAUUAGCUUACAAAAUGGUGGAGUAACUACUACAAGCACACUAGGUAUACAGUAUUUUGUGGGGAAGUUAUACAGACACACAGCUAACUUCAUAUAGAUCCCAUUAGACAACUGGAUUUACAACAAGUUUUGUUUAAUAAGAAAUGGGCAAAGCCAGCUUCUUUUCAGAAUCAAAAUGCAGAACAAAUGGAAAAGAAAUUAUGGUGGUGUACCUUCACAAGUUUGAGCCUCCACAAGUAACGCAACCAAGUUUUACAACUUUAAGAGCUUCUACAUACACUCCACCUUCACUAUUUAGCUCCAGGUUUCCUCUUCACCCCCGUCUUAUUGAGUUCCAAAUGUUACAAAAAAGUCCUAGUUUAUUGCCAGAAACUUUUACCUCCCCCUUCCCUCCUCCCCACCCAAAAGCUUUAUAGAGAGGAUGGAGUGUAAUACGGAGCUUUACAUUAUAUAUUCAUGAGGGCUACAAAGGAGCCUCCGCACGAAUCUGGUUGCUCAUAUUUUGAUCGUACUGUGACACGACUCACGACUGUUUCUUAGAAAUUGGGGUAAAUGGGGGGAAAAAGGAGAAAAUUCUUUAAUAAAAAGACACCAGGUACAAAGCAACGUUUUACUUUUGUUGUGGUAAAAAAAAAAGUCACAUUUUACAGAUAAAAUGUAGAACCCUGAAAUACUGACACAUUCUCUUUUCGUGCACAAUGCUGAGGUUCUCUUACGAAUCACUUUAAAACUGCAAUUAAAAAUGUACAAAAAAAGAAAAGAAAAAAAUCAACCCACAAAGCUUCUAAAAAAGGAACCCGCAGGCACUUCCUCUUGUGGAAUGUUUAAAAAGUUAGCCUACUAAAGAAAACAGUCGACUUCUUGUGAAGGUUUGGGAGAAAUAUGUAUCAGUUCAUUUAUUUGGGUAUUCAAUAAUAUCCUUGGUGAUAAUGCUGACUCCAUGGCUUCUGACCCCAGAAUUGACCCUGCUGCCACUGGUUGUAGCCCUGAGAUUGGUUUUUGUAGCCACGAUUAUUCCCCCUUCCUCUGAAGUUCUGGUUGUAGUUUCCCCUGUUGGGCAUUCCACCUCUGUUAUAGUUUCCUCUGUUUGAGUAGCCACCUCUGCUAGGAAAGACAGGGCCACGAGGAUAAGGAUAGCCAAUGGCACCACUGCUGCCGCCACCGCCGCCACCUCCUCCACCACCACGCUGUGGCAUAUUGCCUCCCCUCCUGUUGUAUCCACCUCGAUUGCCUGGGACUCCUCCUCUGAAGUUGCCACGCAUGUUGAAUCCUCCACGCCCCCUCUGCCCUCUAUUAAACUGAUUUUUAUUGCUCUUCUUGUUUUUCUUUGAGCCAGUGUUCUGUUUCUUUUCUGGCGGAAGAGAUUUCUUACUUUCUUCUUUAUAUUGUUCCAAGAGUUUCUGAGCUUCUUCUUUUUGCAACUCUACAUAGAUUAUUUCAUCAAAACAUUCUGCUACCUCUGGCAGUGUGAAGUUCCCUUUCAUUUUGAGAACUGCAUGCUCUGGAAGAUCUUUUCCCUCCACCUCUGCCUUCUUUUGUGUUCUUUGCUUGUAGUCUUCAUCUUUUGGGCAAACAACAACUGCUUUGCGCUGGAAGCCUGCAAACAGGCACAUUUUUCUCCUCUGCGCAGCUGCAGACACAUUUGUCUGAUCCAAAAUGAAAUUCCGCUUCUUACGAGCUGCAAUCUCAAUGAAUUUUCCAAGACACUGUGGAGCUCGCUGCAACAGUGUGUUAAGUUUCCCAGUGUCUGCCAUCUGCCGCUUAAAACCUGCAACCAUCAUUUUGUCCAUAAUAGUAUUUGUCCCAAGAAUGUUGUAUUUCCCAGGAUUUGCUGCUGCGUGUUUAGUUACCCAUGUAGUCUUGCCAGCUCCAGGCAAUCCAAUCAUCAUCACCACCUCACAAUCUUUCUUUUGCUCAGGUCCCUUUGGUCCUCGAACCCUAUCUUCCAGGGGGACCUUCUGGAUGAAGGUAUACUCUUCAGGUACAGGAAAGUAAGGUUCAUCCUUCUGACCAAAGUUGAACUCAACCGCACAGUUAUGGCAGAGAACAUGUGGAAAGAGUGGGCGCCCAUCAAGAACUUCCUUACUAAUUUUGAAUGCAACACCAAGCUCUUGUCCGUUCUUGGAAUAUGAGAGCUCCACUUCAUCACCAUCAAAAUUAGCAAAACAUCCAAUCACAUCAUUUUCAUCAAACUUCUCACCAAAGUCUUCAGUCUCACAAUUGCAUGUCUUUAUUCCUUUUAGAGAAUAUCCGUAAGAAAAUUCUUCUUCACCAAGCAACAUUCCACUUGUGUUCAGUGACCAGCCAACUCGCACCUCAUGUAUAUCAAUGUCUUUUGUAUACAGGUGUUUAACAGGAAUCUUUUCUGUAACCUUCAUCUCAAAGCAGACUUUGCCUUUAGAAACUCCAUAGGAAGCACUAAACCGGUCUCUGGAGAUUUUAAAAUGCAGGUCACAGUUAUAGGUAUCGAGACACACCACGGUGUCAUCAAAGUGUUCAUCUUCUUCUUCAACAGGUGGUUGAGGGGACUUGGCCCUGCUGUAUUUAUUUUCUUCAAUGUAUUCAAAAUAUCCACGGCCAUGGUCUUCACGUGGUCUCUUGACACCCCUCUUUUUCUCACCAGGUUUUUGUUCUGUUUUGCCAUCUCCCCCGGCCGCCUGGGCCCCGGGGCGGCCUCCGCCGCCGCCACCUUCUGCUUUCUUCUGCUGCUGCUGCUUGGCGGGGCCGGCCGGGCCGGCGGAGGCGGCAGCCGCCGCGGGCCCCGAUGCGCCGGCAGCGCUCUUGCCCGGGGCCUCCUUGGCGGCGGCGCGCGGGGCGAGGAGCGGCUGAGGCGGCUGCUGCUGCUGGGGCGGCUGCUGGGCCUGGGGCUGCUGCUCCCCGUGCCCGUUGGCGUCCCCGGCCGCGGCCUCCUCCUCGUCGGCCAGCUCGUCCUCCCCCUCCUGGAAGCCCUGGUCGUCUCCGUUCUCGUCCUCCUCCUCCUCCUCUUCCUCCUCCUCGCCGCCCGCCUCCUCUUCCAUCGGGCCGCCCCCGGCCCCCGCCCGCUCGCCGUUCUCUUCGCCCAGCUCCAUGGCGUCGCCAUCGGCGGCCUCCAGCCCUUCCUCGUCGUCGUCCUCCGCCGCCGAAGCCGCGGCCUGGUCGAGGCCUCCCCCCUGGCGGAGCUGCGCGGCGCCGCCGCCGCUCUCGGCCGCCUCCCCCUCCAUGCUGCCGUUGCCAGGCUCAGCCGCGCUGCUGGCGGGGCCCCCCCCGCCGGCCUCCUGGUCCAGCGCGGCCUGGAGCCGCUCCAUCAGGUCGGCCUUGAGGCCCUUGUCGGAGAGGCGCCGCUUUUUCAACUCCUCCUUCAGCUCCGACACCUUCAGCUUCUUCACGUUGACGGGCGAGCAGCUCAUGGCGGCGGCGGCUCGAUCCCUGGGCGGCGCGCGGGCGGCUCUGGGCUCGGGCGGGCGACGGCGGCUCUGGGUCGAGGCCCCGGCGGGAGGCGGUGGGCGGGUGGCGCGGCUGGUUCGUGCGGCUGCGGCAGCUGCAGAGCGGACCCGCCUGGCGCCAAAUCCUUUCACCGAGCUCGCGAGGGAGACGCGCCUCGCGGGGCCGAGCACGCAACACUGCCCGCCCCGCCCCCGCGCACGUAGUCCCUCCUUCCCCCCCCCGCCCCCCGCUACCGUAACGGCCGCCCGCGCGCGCCCGUACCGUAAAUACCCGUCCGAGAGCAGGGUGCCGCGCGGUCCCCGCUGCCCUCAGGCGCGUGGCGGCUUCCCGUGCCCUGCCGAGCCUACACGGCCGUGCCCGGACUCGCGGCGCAGCCGGGGGACGAGCGCCCCUCGCCCCGCGCUGCGGCCGUACCUGCGCCAUGUUGGGCAGGAGGCGGCGGGAAGCUGCCGCACGCACGGCUGGAGGCCUGGACCCGACGCGCCGCGCUGCCGCCUUAACCCGACCGGGCUGCAGGGCCUGCGGGUUGGAGGCCCCACGGCGGCUAGAGGCGCCCCGGGCCUGCGUGUAGGCCGCAGCACGACACAGCUGCCCCCUCCCCUCACGCUCAGGCCUGUGGAGGGUUCGACAGCAAACAUCGCACCUUGAAAUAGCUACCCAGACACAACCUGCUGAAAAGUUACAUAAGGACAGCAGUAGAGCCAGACAUACAUCUCUCUACGGGCUGCAGCAGUAAGAGGCAAGCAUUGACCCGAUCUUUAGACGAUGUUUUCAGCAAGCCACGGGGCCAACAAAAGCAAUUCAAGUGCAUUACCUCUCCCACGCAAGCACCAGUCUGGAGCUCAGCACAGAGCUGAUCGGCUAACCAGCUGCAGCUAAACAGCUUACACGUGCCCAUCUUUCCCUCUGCACAGCACUACUUGGAUCUCUCCUCAGCCACCAAGUUGUAUGGUGGAGAUUUGAUAAUUUAUUCGUAUACACAAUUUGACUAAAAGUUACUUGAAAAAAGAAAAUACAACCAGACUAGAGAGGGCCACAGAUGAACAGAAAGGCAACACCAGUGUGCACUUCGGCUUCCUUAGGGAGGCUGAAGAAGAAGCUAGUUUUCACGUGCAUUUUAAGAAGUUCACAAAAGGGGCAAGCCAAACAAAUGUAGUACAAAGAAGUCCUACUGAAGGCACGGAGGUGCCUUGUACAGGUCACAUGGCCUUCUGAACCAGAACACGUUACAUUUACUUACAGCCAGCAAAAGGGAGAAGAGAUGAGGAAGUCUCUCUUCUAACUGUAAAAGGAAAGUGCUCUCUCUUUCUCUCUCUCUCUCUCUCACACACACACACACACACACACACUGCUCUGUCAGGCUGGAUUGAUCGCUUUUGGAGGAAACGUGACUCACUCUGCAAGGUUAGCUCAACCCAACUACACAAAGUGUUGUUGGAACAGAGACAGGAAGAGUUGCCUCAUGCAGUAUGUCCAGAUUAUAAAUUUUCCCUAGUAUGAAUGCAAGUUAGUAGAUUCUAUCUCACUCUGCUAGGUUAGAAUAUUUUAAGCAGGGUAAGAAAAGGAUAGUGUGCAUGAUUACCAGAAAGAUCAGUGUACAAUUAAGCUGAACAGAUAAAAAUCAUUACCCUUGUUCCUUUCUUUGUGAAAGGGCCAUUUAAACUUGUCUGAGUGACAAUUCUGCCAAGGUGGGAGCAAAAAUAAGCAGAGUCUACCUGGUUAAUGUUGCAAGAUAAUUUACUACUGAAACUUACAGAACACAGGAAACUGCAUUAAAUUUAAAUGUCAUGUCUGUCCAACAUCCAGGUUUAUUUUUUCAAAUUUUGAACAUAAAAGUAUUUAAGAACAUACACUGUCAAGUCUUUAUGGCUUAUUUUAUCUGCAUCUCAGAGCCUUAUAUUGAAACCUUGAUCUGGCCCAGCCCUUGUCACAUGUUGAGUGAUGUUUCUAGAAAAGCUCCAUUGGAGUAGUCUGAUAAUCC